rnacentral:rRNA from 1 species
AACGAACGCUGGCGGCAGGCUUAACACAUGCAAGUCGAACGCACCGCAAGGUGAGUGGCAGACGGGUGAGUAACACGUGGGGAUCUGCCCAAUGGUACGGAAUAGCUCCGGGAAACUGGAAUUAAUACCGUAUGUGCCCUUCGGGGGAAAGAUUUAUCGCCAUUGGAUGAACCCGCGUCGGAUUAGCUAGUUGGUGAGGUAAAGGCUCACCAAGGCGACGAUCCGUAGCUGGUCUGAGAGGAUGAUCAGCCACACUGGGACUGAGACACGGCCCAGACUCCUACGGGAGGCAGCAGUGGGGAAUAUUGGACAAUGGGCGCAAGCCUGAUCCAGCCAUGCCGCGUGAGUGAUGAAGGCCUUAGGGUUGUAAAGCUCUUUCGACGACGAAGAUAAUGACGGUAGUCGGAGAAGAAGCCCCGGCUAACUUCGUGCCAGCCGCCGCCGUAAAAC